UACGAAGGGGGCUAGCGUUGCUCGGAAUCACUGGGCGUAAAGCGCACGUAGGCGGAUUGUUAAGUCAGGGGUGAAAUCCUGGAGCUCAACUCCAGAACUGCCUUUGAUACUGGCGAUCUUGAGUUCGGGAGAGGUGAGUGGAACUGCGAGUGUAGAGGUGAAAUUCGUAGAUAUUCGCAAGAACACCAGUGGCGAAGGCGGCUCACUGGCCCGGAACUGACGCUGAGACGCGAAAGCGUGGGGAGCAAACAGG
rnacentral:rRNA from 1 species